GAUGAACGCUAGCGGCAGGCUUAAUACAUGCAAGUCGAGGGGCAGCACGGGUAGCAAUACUUGGUGGCGACCGGCGCACGGGUGCGUAACACGUAUACAAUCUACCUAUAACAGGGGGAUAGCCUUUCGAAAGAGAGAUUAAUACCCCGUAAUAAAUUGAGUGGCAUCACUUGAUUUUGAAAGUUCCGACGGUUAUAGAUGAGUAUGCGUCUGAUUAGCUAGUUGGUAGUGUAAUGGACUACCAAGGCGACGAUCAGUAGGGGAUCUGAGAGGACUACCCCCCACACUGGUACUGAGACACGGACCAGACUCCUACGGGAGGCAGCAGUAAGGAAUAUUGGACAAUGGUCGCAAGACUGAUCCAGCCAUGCCGCGUGCAGGAAGACGGCCCUAUGGGUUGUAAACUGCUUUUGUACCAGAGAAAACCUAUCUACGUGUAGAUAGCUGAUAGUAUGGUAAGAAUAAGCAUCGGCUAACUUCGUGCCAGCAGCCGCGGUAAAAC
rnacentral:rRNA from 1 species